CCUGGAGUCCUUCCCGGGAUCUUCCAGGUUCUCCCACCGCUCUUCUGGCUACAGCCUCUUCCCGGGGCCGGAGCUGCCGUGGCAUUUGAGGAAGAUCACCUGGUCCUGCUGGUUUGUGUGGCCCUGCUGUCCCUACACAGACAAGGCCCAACCUCCUUCUGGCACAGAGCACCCAGCAGAGCUCAUAUCUACUCUGUCUUCCAGAGGAGAGUUGUGCAACACCUUAAUUGCUGCUGGCCUCUGCCAGCAGGGCAGGGACUGCCCACAGGUGCCCACGCAGCUCCCGUGGAGCUGCCUGAGAGCUACAGAGAUGAGGCUGACAGAGGGGACAGCUGAG